AACAGGUUCAAAUAACAUUUCGUUGGGCUACAUGCAUAAUAACAAGCACAAUGUCAGAGAUCCUUUACCGUGGCCUGGCAAAGAAACAAUUUGUACAUUUCUAUCUUUCUACGGAGAUCCCCCUUUAAAGAGGUUGCUUAAUUUCGAGGCUGCUAGUUUUUAACAAUCUUCCAGCUUAUCCUAUAUGCGUGGGGUCAGUUGUUUAGGGUGAUAGCAUGGAGUGCUGGGUUAGGAGUAGCAGAAAUAGUAAGUGUCU